CCUACGGGUGGCUGCAGUGGGGAAUAUUGGACAAUGGGCGAAAGCCUGAUCCAGCCAUGCCGCGUGUGUGAAGAAGGCCUUCGGGUUGUAAAGCACUUUCAGUGGGGAAGAAAGCCUUGGGGCUAAUACCCUCGAGGAAGGACAUCACCCACAGAAGAAGCACCGGCUAACUCCGUGCCAGCAGCCGCGGUAAUACGGAGGGUGCGAGCGUUAAUCGGAAUUACUGGGCGUAAAGCGCGCGUAGGCGGUCUGAUAAGCCGGUUGUGAAAGCCCCGGGCUCAACCUGGGAACGGCAUCCGGAACUGUCAGGCUAGAGUGCAGGAGAGGAAGGUAGAAUUCCCGGUGUAGCGGUGAAAUGCGUAGAGAUCGGGAGGAAUACCAGUGGCGAAGGCGGCCUUCUGGACUGACACUGACGCUGAGGUGCGAAAGCGUGGGUAGCAAACAGGAUUAGAUACCCGGUGUC
rnacentral:rRNA from 1 species